rnacentral:rRNA from 1 species
CCUACGGGUGGCAGCAGUGGGGAAUAUUGGACAAUGGGCGAAAGCCUGAUCCAGCCAUGCCGCGUGUGUGAAGAAGGCCUUCGGGUUGUAAAGCACUUUCAGUGGGGAAGAAAGCCUUGGGGCUAAUACCCUCGAGGAAGGACAUCACCCACAGAAGAAGCACCGGCUAACUCCGUGCCAGCAGCCGCGGUAAUACGGAGGGUGCGAGCGGUAAUCGGAAUUACUGGGCGUAAAGCGCGCGUAGGCGGUCUGAUAAGCCGGUUGUGAAAGCCCCGGGCUCAACCUGGGAACGGCAUCCGGAACUGUCAGGCUAGAGUGCAGGAGAGGAAGGUAGAAUUCCCGGUGUAGCGGUGAAAUGCGUAGAGAUCGGGAGGAAUACCAGUGGCGAAGGCGGCCUUCUGGACUGACACUGACGCUGAGGUGCGAAAGCGUGGGUAGCAAACAGGAUUAGAUACCCUGGUAGUC